CCUAAAAAGGAACUAUAAUUGAGAAACUCACAGAAGAUACUCUGAGAUAUUGGAAUCAUCUCACCGAACUCCUAUCCAUAUGUGAAGCUCAAAGACAAAUUGGAGAGGCUUACUUGAAUGAAACAAGCUCUAGAUCUCAUCAAAUUCUUAGGGUGGUAUCAGUUGGUCAAAAACUUAAACAAGGCUGCCAUAUAAACCAUAUGAAACACAAGCUCCUAGCGAUGAAGAUUAAGUAAUAUAUAUUUUCAUAACUUCUUUUUUUGUGUAUGGUAAUAGUUCGUUGUUAGAAGUACUAUGUACAUGACCAUAAUUUUUGUUGUAAAUAAUUUUGAUGUUUAAAUAUAUUUUCAAUUUGAAAUUUA